rnacentral:rRNA from 1 species
UACGUAGGGUGCGAGCGUUGUCCGGAAUUAUUGGGCGUAAAGAGCUCGUAGGCGGUUUGUCGCGUCUGCCGUGAAAGUCCGGGGCUCAACUCCGGAUCUGCGGUGGGUACGGGCAGACUAGAGUGAUGUAGGGGAGACUGGAAUUCCUGGUGUAGCGGUGAAAUGCGCAGAUAUCAGGAGGAACACCGGUGGCGAAGGCGGGUCUCUGGGCCGUAACUGACGCUGAGGAGCGAAAGCGUGGGGAGCGAACAGG